rnacentral:other from 1 species
GUUUUCAUCCCCUUGCGGGGAAGUGGUUAUGAAAAAC